rnacentral:rRNA from 1 species
GAUGAACGCUGGCGGCGUGCUUAACACAUGCAAGUCGAACGAUGAACCGGGUGCUUGCACUCGGGGAUUAGUGGCGAACGGGUGAGUAACACGUGAGCAACCUGCCCCUGACUCUGGGAUAAGCGCUGGAAACGGCGUCUAAUACUGGAUAUGUCCCGUCACCGCAUGGUGUGCGGGUGGAAAGAUUUUUCGGUUGGGGAUGGGCUCGCGGCCUAUCAGCUUGUUGGUGAGGUAAUGGCUCACCAGGGCGUCGACGGGUAGCCGGCCUGAGAGGGUGACCGGCCACACUGGGACUGAGACACGGCCCAGACUCAGACGGGAGGCAGCAGUGGGGAAUAUUGCACAAAGGGCUGAAGCCUGAUGCAGCAACGCCGCGUGAGGGAUGACGGCCUUCGGGUUGUAAACCUCUUUUAGCAGGGAAGAAGCGAGAGUGACGGUACCUGCAGAAAAAGCACCGGCUAACUACGUGCCAGCAGCCGCCGUAA